rnacentral:lncRNA from 1 species
AAGGGUGCAGUUGUGAAGGUGUUCUCCUCAUACAUGACCUGUAAGUGAUAAUCUGCCCUGAUCAGGGUUGUUGUACAGUUAAUCGAGGUGUGACAGGGUGGGGAAUCUCAGGCCCAGGAGGCCACUAAGUGAGGAAAAGCCUCCUGAUCGCCAUUUCCUGUGGAAUCUGAGGGUGAAUGGAAGGUGGAGGACCAUAUUCAUGGAAGAGGAUUGAACAGACUACUGAGUUCUUAAGAGAAGAAUGACACUUAAGAAAUUGAUGGUGAUACCAAAGGAAGGUUACUUAUUACACUUGGACUUUGAUGAUGAGCACGAUGACAUAAAAGUUUCAGAGGAGGCUCUUUUGGAAGGUAUAG